UACGAAGGGGGCUAGCGUUGUUCGGAAUUACUGGGCGUAAAGCGCGCGCAGGCGGUUCUUUACGUCAGGGGUGAAAGCCCAGAGCUCAACUCUGGAAUUGCCUUUGAAACUAGAGAACUUGGGUACGGGAGAGGUGAGUGGAAUUCCGAGUGUAGAGGUGAAAUUCGUAGAUAUUCGGAAGAACACCAGUGGCGAAGGCGGCUCACUGGCCCGUUACCGACGCUCAGGCGCGACAGCGUGGGGAGCAAACAGG
rnacentral:rRNA from 1 species